rnacentral:rRNA from 1 species
AGGAGCCCAAACCGUAGGAAUACGGGGUUUAGGACCUCAAGAAGUGAAUGCGUUGUUGUAGACGAAUCAUUUGAAAGAUGAACCAAAGAUGGUGAAAGUCCAGUAGUUGAAACGACAGAAUGCAGCGAGAGGGAUCCAGAGUACGGCGAGACACGAGGAAUCUAGUCGGAAGAUACGCAGACCACUGCGAAAGGCUAAAUACAAGAUAGUGACCGAUAGUGAACCAGUACCGUGAGGGAAAGGUGAAAAGAACCCCGGGAGGGGAGUGAAAAGAAUCUGAAACCUGAUGCCUACAAGAAGUCAGAGGGCGUUCAAGCCUGAUGGCGUGCCUAUUGAAGAAGGAACCGGCGAGUUAUGCUAUCGUGCGAGGUUAAGUAGGAGAUACGGAGCCGAAGCGAAAGCGAGUCUUAAGAGGGCGAGAAGUACGAUAGGAUAGACCCGAAACCAGACGAUCUAGCCAUGAUCAGGUUGAAGCGAUGGUAACACAUCGUGGAGGACCGAACCAACUUUCGUUGAAACGACAGUGGAUGAAUUGUGGCUAGGGGUGAAAUUCCAAUCGAGUUUGGAAAUAGCUGGUUCUCCCCGAAAUAGCUUUAGGGCUAGCCUUGUGGAAAGAGCUAUGGAGGUAGAGCACUGAAUGAAUGAGGGCCCCAUCCAGGGGUACCGAUUUCAAUCAAACUCCGAAUGCCAUAGAGAAGAUACACAGGAGUCAGACUGUGGGGGAUAAGCUCCAUGGUCAAGAGGGAAACAGCCCAGACCAACAGAUAAGGUCCCAAAAUACAUGCUAAGUGUAAAAGGGAGUGAUAUUGCGCAGACAACUAGGAGGUUAGCUCAGAAGCAGCUAUCCUUAAAAGAGUGCGUAACAGCUCACUAGUCGAGUGACAUUGCACCGAAGAUUUACCGGGGCUAAGCAUGAUACCGAAGCAUUGGACUCUGAGGAGUGGUAGGGGAGCGUUGUAGGAGCGGCGAAGUCAUACUGAAAGGAAUGGUGGAGCGACUACAAGAGAGAAUGCCGGUGUGAGUAACGAAUAGAGGUGAGAAUCCUCUACACCGAAUGACAAAGGAUUCCUGGGGAAAGGUUCGUCCGCCCAGGGUAAGUCGGGGCCUAAGGCGAGGCCGAGAGGCGUAGUCGAUGGAAAACUGGUUGAAAUUCAGUACCGAUUAUAGGGAGAAGGAGAGACGGAGAUGGUAAGUUGUGCCGGUUAAUGGAUUCCGGUCGAAACGGAGCAGCUGGUAGGGAAGGCAAAUCCACCUACAGGAAGCAGGCCGUGACAGGGAGCGAACGGGAAACCAAGUAGUGAAGACAAUGUAGACAGCUUCCAAGAAAAUCUUCUAUCGAGAACUUAUAAUUGCCCGUACCGAGAACGAACACACGUGGUCAAGGAGAGAAUCCUAAGGUGAGCGAGACAACUGUUGCUAAGGAACUCUGCAAAAUCACCCCGUAAGUUAGCAAGAAGGGGAGCUCGAGAGAGCCGCAGUGAAAAGGCCUAGGCGACUGUUUAACUAAAACACAGCUCUAUGCUAAGCCGAAAGGCGAUGUAUAUGGGGUGACGCCUGCCCAGUGCUGGAAGGUUAAGGGGACGUGUUAGGAGCAAUCCGAAGCAUGGAACCGAAGCCCCAGUGAACGGCGGCCGUAACUAUAACGGUCCUAAGGUAGCGACAUUCCUCGUCAGGUAAAUUCUGACGCGCACGAAUGGCGUAACGAUCUAGGCGCUGUCUCAGCAACAGGCUCGGUGAAA